rnacentral:rRNA from 1 species
AAACGAGUUAUCAUAGAGACCUCUCAGGGUGGAGCGAUAACGGCGUCGAGCGGCGGACGGGUGAGUAAUGCCUAGGAAAUUGCCCUGAUGUGGGGGAUAACCAUUGGAAACGAUGGCUAAUACCGCAUGAUGCCUACGGGCCAAAGAGGGGGACCUUCGGGCCUCUCGCGUCAGGAUAUGCCUAGGUGGGAUUAGCUAGUUGGUGAGGUAAGGGCUCACCAAGGCGACGAUCCCUAGCUGGUCUGAGAGGAUGAUCAGCCACACUGGAACUGAGACACGGUCCAGACUCCUACGGGAGGCAGCAGUGGGGAAUAUUGCACAAUGGGCGCAAGCCUGAUGCAGCCAUGCCGCGUGUGUGAAGAAGGCCUUCGGGUUGUAAAGCACUUUCAGUCGUGAGGAAGGUAGUGUAGUUAAUAGCUGCAUUAUUUGACGUUAGCGACAGAAGAAGCACCGGCUAACUCCGUGCCAGCAGCCGCGGUAAUACGGAGGGUGCGAGCGUUAAUCGGAAUUACUGGGCGUAAAGCGCAUGCAGGUGGUUUGUUAAGUCAGAUGUGAAAGCCCGGGGCUCAACCUCGGAAUAGCAUUUGAAACUGGCAGACUAGAGUACUGUAGAGGGGGGUAGAAUUUCAGGUGUAGCGGUGAAAUGCGUAGAGAUCUGAAGGAAUACCGGUGGCGAAGGCGGCCCCCUGGACAGAUACUGACACUCAGAUGCGAAAGCGUGGGGAGCAAACAGGAUUAGAUACCCUGGUAGUCCACGCCGUAAACGAUGUCUACUUGGAGGUUGUGGCCUUGAGCCGUGGCUUUCGGAGCUAACGCGUUAAGUAGACCGCCUGGGGGAGUACGGUCGCAAGAUUAAAAACUCAAAUGAAUUGACUGGGGGCCCCGCACAAAGCGGUGGAGCAUGUGGUUUAAUUUCGAUGCAACGCGAAGAAACCUUACCCUACUCUUGGACAUCCCAGAGAACUUUCCAGAGAUGGAUUGGUGCCUUCGGGAACUCUGAGACAGGUGCUGCAUGGCUGUCGUCAGCUCGUGUUGUGAAAUGUUGGGUUAAGUCCCGCAACGAGCGCAACCCUUAUCCUUGUUUGCCAGCGAGUAAUGUCGGGAACUCCAGGGAGACUGCCGGUGAUAAACCGGAGGAAGGUGGGGACGACGUCAAGUCAUCAUGGCCCUUACGAGUAGGGCUACACACGUGCUACAAUGGCGCAUACAGAGGGCGGCCAACUUGCGAAAGUGAGCGAAUCCCAAAAAGUGCGUCGUAGUCCGGAUUGGAGUCUGCAACUCGACUCCAUGAAGUCGGAAUCGCUAGUAAUCGUGGAUCAGAAUGCCACGGUGAAUACGUUCCCGGGCCUUGUACACACCGCCCGUCACACCAUGGGA